CCUGGUCUUGACAUCCACGGAAGUUUUCAGAGAUGAGAAUGUGCCUUCGGGAACCGUGAGACAGGUGCUGCAUGGCUGUCGUCAGCUCGUGUUGUGAAAUGUUGGGUUAAGUCCCGCAACGAGCGCAACCCUUAUCCUUUGUUGCCAGCGGUCCGGCCGGGAACUCAAAGGAGACUGCCAGUGAUAAACUGGAGGAAGGUGGGGAUGACGUCAAGUCAUCAUGGCCCUUACGACCAGGGCUACACACGUGCUACAAUGGCGCAUACAAAGAGAAGCGACCUCGCGAGAGCAAGCGGACCUCAUAAAGUGCGUCGUAGUCCGGAUUGGAGUCUGCAACUCGACUCCAUGAAGUCGGAAUCGCUAGUAAUCGUGGAUCAGAAUGCCACGGUGAAUACGUUCCCGGGCCUUGUACACACCGCCCGUCACACCAUGGGAGUGGGUUGCAAAAGAAGUAGGUAGCUUAACCUUCGGGAGGGCGCUUACCACUUUGUGAUUCAUGACUGGGGUGAAGUCGUAACAAGGUAACCGUAGGGGAACCUGCGGUUGGAUCACCUCCUUACCUUAAAGAAGC
rnacentral:rRNA from 1 species